rnacentral:lncRNA from 1 species
GAUGGAAGCCGAGACUGCGCUUCGUGCGAGGCCCGGGCAGCAUCGGCGGCGUGGUCAGAGCGAGUCUCGGAGAAGAUGUGGUGGCUUCCGUUUGUUGGUGGAGGAGGUGGCAGGCCUCGGCG